rnacentral:rRNA from 1 species
UACGGGGGGGGGCAAGCGUUGUUCGGAAUUACUGGGCGUAAAGGGCUCGUAGGCGGCCAACUAAGUCAUACGUGAAAUCCCCAGCUCAACCUGGGAACUGCGUCUGAUACUGGUUGGCUUGAAUCCGGGAGAGGGAUGCAGAAUUCCAGGUGUAGCGGUGAAAUGCGUAGAUAUCUGGAGGAAUACCGGUGGCGAAGGCGGCAUCCUGGACCGGCAUUGACGCUGAGGAGCGAAAGUCAGGGGAGCAAACGGG